CACAUAUAUACAUAUAUAUAUAUAUAUAUACCGUUAGAGAUAAUAUAGAAACUUCGAUUUCGACUUAGUUGCUAUAAUUUAUGAAUUUUCAAGAACUCAUAUGGUUGCUAGAAUAUAUUGAAAAUUGCAGAAAGAAAUGGGGAAUCCAAAGCUUGGAUUCACCAUUGUUCUGUAGAUGUUAGAUAUUUAAGAAAUGGAAGGAGCCCAGAGAGCUAGAAUGCACACUGUUUUCAUAAAGAAAAGAAAAAGACCCUGGCAAGGGUAGGUGAUCAUCUCUAUUUAUAUAGUUUGAAAUGGUCUCUCUCUCCCUCCCUUGUCAGGUUACAAAGAGACUAUAUUGCAAUACAUUUAGUCUAACGUUGUCAGAUGGAUGUGUCAGCUGGCACUCGGCUGCUAAAUUUUAAAGAAGCUGGCUAUGGUUGCAUCCAUUGGCUUGUUAACAUCUCUGUCGGCCGAUAAUGACUAUUCUUUGUAUGCAUAAUGCAUCAUCGAAGGUGACGAGGCACUGUAAGAUUUUUUUUUUCUUUUGCGGCGUUACAUAGUUUUGUACUUUUCAUGCAAUGGCAAUCGAGUAGCUUAAACUGCCCAUGCCUAUUAGCGCGUCUAUUUGAAUAACCAUUGAUUCUGUGAUGUAAUGGUACUCUGUUUUUUCCCCCUAAUUUUGUGAAAGGUUUUUUUUAGAUGCAAAAGAAUGUGGUGAAAUGAACCAAGAAAGAUGUACAUGCAUAUCACUUAAUUCUUAUAUAGUUACAUAUUUUACGCAUAUGGAACAAUGGCAAAUCUAAGCUUCUCACAUCCUGUUUCUUUCUGCAAAUUUCUAUAUAUUCUAGCAACCAUAUGCUGUCUUGAAAAUGUAUAGUUUUUGCUACUAAGUUAAAAUUGAAGAUUUAUUGGUUUCUUUUUGGGGGCAUUCACAUACAUACCGCAAAAUUCUUAGGUAUUUACAUAUCUAAAACCUAAAGUUUAGUUUUUCUUGUUAGCCCAAAACAUGCUUUUGGUUAUAUUUCUACAAAAAAAAAAGUAUUGGCCAUAUUUCUCGAUUUUGAGCUAUUAUAAGGUGUAGAAAGUCCAUCUCUCUCUCUCUCUCUCCCUGCGUGCGUGCGUGUGUGUGUGUGUGAGUUUGAGAUUUGACGCUGAUGAUUAAAUUCAACAUGGAAAGUGAUGCUAUCCUUGUCCAAGGUACUUUAGGGAUCUUUCAUUUUCUUAUGCAAUGGUGGAGCAGCAUGGAUGACCUAUGAGUCUGCAGACAUAUUUGUGCAGAUGAACAUAAUGUGGGAAUUUUUGGCUAAUUACAGGAAUCGUUGCUUUUAUGAUGCAAUGGUGGAGAAGAAGCUUGGAGGAUUUAUGCUUUUGCAGGUAAUUUUGACGUUCCAGAUGCGUUGGCGCGGUCCAUUUCGUCUUCGGAGAUGGGUAAUGCCCCUACUGCUUUUUCAACCCAAAAAAAAAAGAAAUAAACCUCUUUUGGACAGUUUAGGCACACCACGGAAACAGAGUAAGACAAAAGUCUUCUUUUGCAAUUCUAAGAAUUAUGAUAUACUCAAAACAUUUUUGUCUAAGAAUUCCAGGAAUUUCUGUGUGCGCGCGCGUGUGUGUGAUUAGGCUUUGAUGAUUAAAUUCUACAUGUAAGACAAACUUAUCCCCGUCCGGUGCUUCAGGAAUUUUUGCUUUUAUGAUGCAAUGGUGGAGAAGCUUGGAGGACCUAUGCUUUUGCAGUAUGCUAAUGGAUGAAAGAGGGUGCUAGAUUUGUAAAUAGCAAUGUUUCAAGUGAUAUGUUUUCAAUUGCCCCAUAAGCUUAUCUGUGCUGUUUCACUCUCCAAAGAAAACUCCGUAGUAAAAGGUACGCCAGACGAGGGCCUACUCUUUAAAAAAAAUCGCAGAACAAAACAUAGAGAUGUCCGUCGAUGUAGAUUGGGCGGGCUCAACCAUUGAUGGGAGAUUGACUUCCGCAUACUGUACUUAUGUUGGGGAAAGCUGGUUAUAUGGUGGAGUAAAAAAUAAAAUGUGGUUGCGAGGAGCAGUGCCGAUGGAUAUAGAGCUUUGAUCAAUGGAAUAUGUGAGAUGUUAUGGUUGAAAAUAAUUCUUGAAGAACUAUGGAUCACUAUAAAUUUGCCAAUGAAGUUGUGUUGUGUCAAUAAAGCCAACCAUAGGCAUUGCAGAAAAUCUAGUACUGACUGAUCUCACAAAUCAUGUGGAGAUUGAUAGGCACUUCAUAAAAUAUAAGCUUGGUUGUGGAGCUAUAUGCAUACCAUUUAUUCUUACUGUUCUACAGAUGGCACAUAUUGUCGCUAAAGGACUUUUUAGGCCUAGUUUUGAGUUACUUAAAAGCAUGUUGGGCACCAUGUAUUCUUACUUGCAAGCAAAUAUACCAACUUGAGCUUGUUAUUGUUGUUAAGUUGUAAUUUCUUUUUUUUCUGAUUUAGCAUGGGGAAUUUGUGACUGAUUUUGUGGCUUUUCUAAUAUGGUAGCCUCUCUCUGUUAUUUAUCAAAGGCAAUCAUUUUUUGGUCCGUUAGAUUUCAACACUCUUCUCAUGUCAUGUCAAUGGAGCAGUUGGGACGGACCGUGUUUGAGGGUAAUCGUUGUUUCCAUGAGCCAACUCUAGGGAGUUGUUGGAUAUGUAAGUUGAUGUAAUAGGCAUGAAUUUGAUGUUCUGAUUCUCCAGUAACCCAUUGAGUUCCUUAAGCAUAUAAUAGUCUGUCUUUUUUCUUGUUUCGGUAGAGUUGUUUAAUGUUCCAGAGAUUGAUGCCAAGGAAUGAUUGAGACCUGAAGUCGUUUCUCUGUUUAAAUUUUUAGUAAUGCUUCACCUCCAAAAAAAAAACAAAUUAGUAUAAUGGUCUGUUCAGAUUAACGCUUCACCCUCAAAUAAAACUCAUUAUUUAAAGUGUUUGCUUAUGGCAAGUUUCUCACUUUUGUUUGUUUGUAUUUUUUUUUUGAGUUUUUCAAAAAUUUCAUGGAGAGAAUUUCUUAUAAAAUACAUCUGCUAGAGUGUGGUAGUCAAUUUCUUACGAAACCACCUUGCAUGUUUUUUUUUAACAAAAAAAAAGUUUAAACAAAACAUGCAGGGAGAUUUUGUUCCUUUCGUUGGUACUUCAGGGAUCUCUGCUUUUGUCAGGCAAUGGUAAUGGUGCAGCUUGGAUGACCUAUCUCUGCGGGUAACCAUUGUGUCCACGUGACUUUGUUAGAAAUCCAAUCCAAAUGUACCAUUUCCUUCUCACUUUUCUUUAUUUUCCAGCAACCAAUUAAGGCCUUAGUUUGCAAUAUUGGUGUUGUAAUCUGUCUAGGUUUUUUUAUUCUUUAAUUUUUUUAUCCUGGCUUUGGAUGAUUUGUAUGCUGAUGUUUCAAAAUAAUUUAGUAUCAAACUCAGAUGGUUAUGUAUUAAUGCUUGAAGUGCCGACCCGUUU